GUAACAAGGUCUCCGUUGGUGAACCAGCGGAGGGAUCAUUACUGAGUUUACGCUCUACAACCCUUUGUGAACAUACCUAUAACUGUUGCUUCGGCGGGUAGGGUCUCCGCGACCCUCCCGGCCUCCCGCCUCCGGGCGGGUCGGCGCCCGCCGGAGGAUAACCAAACUCUGAUUUAACGACGUUUCUUCUGAGUGGUACAAGCAAAUAAUCAAAACUUUUAACAACGGAUCUCUUGGUUCUGGCAUCGAUGAAGAACGCAGCGAAAUGCGAUAAGUAAUGUGAAUUGCAGAAUUCAGUGAAUCAUCGAAUCUUUGAACGCACAUUGCGCCCGCCAGCAUUCUGGCGGGCAUGCCUGUUCGAGCGUCAUUUCAACCCUCAAGCUCUGCUUGGUGUUGGGGCCCUACAGCUGAUGUAGGCCCUCAAAGGUAGUGGCGGACCCUCUCGGAGCCUCCUUUGCGUAGUAACUUUACGUCUCGCACUGGGAUCCGGAGGGACUCUUGCCGUAAAACCCCCAAUUUUCCAAAGGUUGACCUCGGAUCAGGUAGGAAUACCCGCUGAACUUAAG
rnacentral:rRNA from 1 species